rfam:Thermanaerothrix daxensis strain GNS-1 contig_1, whole genome shotgun sequence.
GGGGAUGAACGGCUUCGACGGAAGAGGCUGAUCCCGAACGGCGAGCCGAGAGGCGCCGACCUCGUAAAAUCAGCGCAAAAAAUAAGUGCCAACCGCACAAACUACGCUGCUCUCCCGCUGGCUGCGUAAGCCAAAAGGGAUGAGCGCCCUGGCCUCCCGAGUGUGAGGCCACGUUCGCCUACCCCGCUGCCUGGCCGGUGGUAGAGCGGGCGUGAGAAAGCCAGGCUGCCGCACAGCACGCUGCGGGCUGUGCGAAAGACCAAGCAGCUAGCGUGGCUCCUGUUCUGUUGGUCGUCGGGAGUAGCGCGAAAAUCAAAGACCAACUACGCUCGUAGAUGUUCGAGGGUCGAAUCUUUCGGACGCGGGUUCGAUUCCCGCCAUCUCCACAC